rnacentral:rRNA from 1 species
UACGUAGGGACCGAGCGUUGUCCGGAUUCAUUGGGCGUAAAGAGCUCGUAGGCGGCUGUUCAAGUCGAACGUGAAAACUCGGAGCUCAACUCCGAGCCUGCGUUCGAUACUGGACGGCUAGAGUCUGGUAGGGGGAUCUGGAAUUCCUGGUGUAGCGGUGGAAUGCGCAGAUAUCAGGAGGAACACCGGUGGCGAAGGCGGUGGUCUGGGCCUGAACUGACGCUGAGGAGCGAAAGCCAGGGGAGCAAACGGG